UACGUAGGUCCCGAGCGUUGUCCGGAUUUAUUGGGCGUAAAGCGAGCGCAGGCGGUUUAAUAAGUCUGAAGUUAAAGGCAGUGGCUUAACCAUUGUUCGCUUUGGAAACUGUUAAACUUGAGUGCAGAAGGGGAGAGUGGAAUUCCAUGUGUAGCGGUGAAAUGCGUAGAUAUAUGGAGGAACACCGGUGGCGAAAGCGGCUCUCCGGUCUGUAACUGACGCUGAGGCUCGAAAGCGUGGGGAGCAAACAGG
rnacentral:rRNA from 1 species